AAGUUGCUAAGGAGAGCUCUAAUAUCAUUAUUUUGGAUGAUAAUUUUGCCUCUGUUGUGAAGGUGGGGACGACCUGUAUAUGCAAAUAUCCAGAAAUUCAUCUAGUUUCAGCUUACAAUUACUUUUGCAGCCAUUGGGAUAAAUGUCAUUGCUGCAGUUUCCUCUGGCCAUGUUCCACUCAAUGCAGAGCAGCUUCUCUGAAUCAAUCUCAUCCAGGAACUUGUUGAGAGGCAGCUGGAUCUGAUAAAGGAGCUUUGCCUUUAGGCAUUGCUUAUGCUUCCACCAAUACUGAUGUUGUAUCCUUGGAGGAAUCUAAAGAUGUGUUGCUUCAUCUUUUUUGAUCAAAGAUUUGGUUUGACUCGAUGAAAGCCUUCACGUAACUAUUACACACUGGGUCAUGGUGAUUUUUCUGCCACAAGUACAAAAUUACUGCACAUGGUGAAUACUCUUGCAGUUGAUAAUGAGGCAAAGCAAACCAUUCAAGGGGCAGGUCUCCUGCUUUCAAUGCACUAGCUGCUAAUUUUGAGAGCCCAAAUGCAAGAAAUGUCUCAACUCCACCACCAGUUGUCAGGAAGAUCUUUCCAAAGUCUGUCACCCCUGAUUCAGCGAAACUGGCUUCCAAAUCUUCAGCUAUAGCAGCUAUCAGUUCCACUUUUGAGAAAUCACCACCAAUACGAGAAGUCAUCAUACCCAAAUCUAUCAAAGUGAGUCCUGAGACCAAAACAGAAUUCAGAGCCUAAUAACAAAGAGAACUCAUGCUUGGUCGAAGUUUGUUGCUUGCAUAAGUGAUUUUCUUGUGUUUGUCACAACAAAA